AUAUUGCACAAUGGGGGAAACCCUGAUGCAGCGACGCCGCGUGAAGGAAGACGUAUUUCGGUAUGUAAACUUCUAUCAGCAGGGAAGAAGAUGACGGUACCUGACUAAGAAGCCCCGGCUAACUACGUGCCAGCAGCCGCGGUAAUACGUAGGGGGCAAGCGUUAUCCGGAUUUACUGGGUGUAAAGGGAGCGUAGACGGAGCGGCAAGUCUGGAGUGAAAACCCAGGGCUUAACCCUGGGACUGCUUUGGAAACUGUCGUUCUUGAGUGCCGGAGGGGUAAGCGGAAUUCCUAGUGUAGCGGUGAAAUGCGUAGAUAUUAGGAGGAACACCAGUGGCGAAGGCGGCUUACUGGACGGCAACUGACGUUGAGGCUCGAAAGCGUGGGGAGCAAACAG
rnacentral:rRNA from 1 species